CGCGGCGACGACAGCGGGUUAGCCGGGGACGACGCGGCGACGACAGCGGGUUAGCCGAGGACGACAGCGGGUUAGCCGAGGACGACGCGGCGACAGUGUUCUCCUAACAGUAUUUCUUCCCCCACUGUCCCCGUACCGGGCUCGGACCAGUGGUCCUCUGCCCGCUAACACAAGUGACCGCAUUCCUUGGCAACGCACAAACCAGUUGAGCUAUAGAAACAUAUUGAGUACAAUAGCUAGCUAUGGAGUGCGCUUACAGCACACUCUUAACGGGCAGGUAGCCUAGUGGUUAUAGCGUUGGUUAGUAACCCAAAGGUUGCUAGAUCUAAUCCCCGAGCUGACAAGGUAUAAAUCUGUCGUCCUGCCCCUGAACAAGGCAGUUAACCCACUGUUCUCAGGCCGUCAUUGUAAAUAAGAAUUUGUUCUUAACUGACUUGCCUAGUUAAAUAAAGGUUAAAUAAAAAUUAACUCUGUUACUAGGGCCCUAUAAAAUCUGGAGACCGCGGACGGGAUCGCAGAAUCCAGACAAAAACUAAAUGUAUUGAACAUUUAAUUAAUUUGCUCCAAGUUUAUCAUAAGACGUUAGCAGAGUGCCAUCAGUGAUUCCUAUUCCCACCAGCUUUCUGAAGAGGCAACGAGGAAUGUGUGGUUUGCACUCAGCUACCCCUUCAUGUAGCCGUUAGCCACGAUGCUAAUGAAAAAUCUUCUGGUAGGUGCAACGUUUUCUGUAAAAAAAAAAUAAAAAAAAAAUCAAUUAAAUGUUAACUACAAAGUAGCCUAUGCUUUAACCAGGCUGAAUGACAUCAGGAUUAUUUUCAUUGUCGUGAUUUGCACAGGUAGCAUGCACAAAGCCAACCUAACUAACCAAGAAACAACCAAACUAACCAAGAAACAACUUCAUCAGAUGACAGUCUUAUAACAUGUUAUACAAUAAAUCUAUGUUUUGUUCGAAAAAUGUGCAUAUUUGAGGUAUAAAUCAGUUUUACAUUGCAGCUACCAUCACAGCUACCGUCAGAAAUAGAACCGAAGCAGCCAGAGUAAUUACAGACACCAACGUCAAAUACCUAAAUACUCAUCAUAAAACAUUUCUGAAAAAUCGAUGGUGUACAGCAAAUGAAAGACAAACAUCUUGUGAAUCCAGCCAAUAUUUCCGAUUUUUUUAAGUGUUUUACAGCGAAAACACAAUAUAGCAUUAUAUUAGCUUACUACAAUAGCCUACCACACUACACUACCACACUAGCGAUAGCAAUAGGCACGUUAGCGAUAGGGAAUAAACCAGCAAAAGAUAUUAAUUUUCACUAACCUUCAUAAACCUUCAUCAGAUGACAGUCCUAUAACAUCAGGUUAUACAUACACUUAUGUUUUGUUUGAAAAUGUGCAUAUUUAGAGCUGAAAUCAGUGGUUAUACAUUGUGCUAACGUAGCAUCUUUUUCCCAGAAUGUGCGGAUAUUUUUAUGACACUCAACUAUUCUGUUCACUCUAACUAUUCAUAAACGUUACUAGAAAAUACAUGUUGUAUAGGAAAUGAUAGAUACACUAGUUCUUAAUGCAAUCGCCGUGUUAGAAUUCUAAAAAUAACUUCAUUACGACACACAGCUUAGUUAUAGCGAGAGCAUGUCCAAAAUCUGGGCGCAAACGACUAUUUCACAUGUUCGAUAGAUAUAUGAAAUAGCAUCAUAAAAUGGGUCCUACUUUUGAUGAUCUUUCAUCAGAAUGUUGUACAAGGGGUCCUUUGUCCAGAACAAUCGUUGUUUGGUUUUAGAAUGUCCUCUUCUCCAGUCAAUUAGCACAGAAAGCUAGCAAAGUAGCGCGAAGCUCUCCUUCCUGAACAAAGGCACACAACGCAACAUGCCUAACGUCCCGAAUAAAUUUCAAUAAUCUAAUAAAACUAUAUUGAAAAAACAUACUUUACGAUGAUAUUGUCACAUGUAUCAAAUAAAAUCAAAGCCGGAGAUAUUAGUCGUCUAUAACGACAGCUUAUCAGAAGGCAAAACCAGGUCCCUUCACGCGCUCUCAAGAAAACAGGAAACUGGUGACACGUCAUGCUGAGAGCUUUUAUUCGACCCCAGAUCAAGUUAUUCACUCCAUUUCUUAUCUCAUUGCCUGUCGACAUCUAGUGGAAGACGUAUGAAGUGCAUGUAUUCUAAUAAAUAUCAAGGGCAUUUAUAGGUAGGCCCUAGAACAGAGCAUCGAUUUCAUUUUUUCCACUUCCUGUCAGGAAGUUUGCUGCCAAAUUAGUUCUGUUUUACUCACAGAUAUAAUUCAAACGGUUUUAGAAACUAGAGAGUGUUUUCUAUCCAAUAGUAAUAAUAAUAAUAUGCAUAUUGUACGAGCAAGAAUUGAGUACGAGGCCGUUUAAAUUGGGCACGAUUUUCCCCCAAAGUGAAAACAGCGCCCUCUGUCCUCAACAACGACCAACAGAUUGGCUCAUCUCACUGUCCAAUCAGAAAAGAUCUGUUUAACUUCUUAUGGGCAAUGCUGGACGGUAGCGUCCCACCUGGCCAACAUCCGGUGAAAUUGCAGAGUGUGAAAUUCAAAUGACAGAAAUAUAAAAAUUUAACAUUCAUGUAAAUACAAGUAUUAUACAUCAAAAUAAAGCUUAACUUCUUGUUAAUCCAGCCGCUGUGUCUGAUUUUAAAAAGGCUUUACGACGAAAGCACACCAUGCGAUUAUCUGAGGACAGCUCCCCGCAUACAAAAGCAUGAAAACAGUUUUCAACCAGGCAGGUGCGACACGAAAGUCAGAAAUAGCGAUAUAAUAAAUGCCUUACCUUUGAAGAUCUUCUUCUGUUGGCACUCCAAAAGGUCCCAGUUACAUCACAAAUGGUCCUUUUGUUCGAUAACGUCCUUCUUUAUAUCCAUAAAAACUCAGUUUAGCUGUCGCGCUUCAUUCAAUAAUCCACUCGAUUUCCCUCCUUCAAAAUGAAGCCCAAACGUUACCAAUAAACUUAUCCAAAAGAGUCAAACAACGUUUAUAAUCAAACCUCAGGUACCGUAAUACGCAAAUAAACAAUACAAUUUAAGACGGAGAUGUUCAUUACCGGAGAUAAAUAACAAAGAACGCACUUUCAUCCACGCGCAUGGAAACACGACAGCCAAAAUGGGAGCCUCUUAGAAAAACUACAACUUCUUGCAAAUUUUUCCAAAAACCAGCCUGAACUCUUUCUAAAGACUGUUGACAUCUAGUGGAAGCCCUAGGAACUGCAAUUUUUUUGGGGAUAGUUUGUCCUCAGGGUUUCGCCUGCCAUAUCAGUUCUGUUAUACUCACAGACAUUAUUCUAACAUUUUUAGAAACUUUAGAGUGUUUUCUAUCUCUAUUAUAUGCAUAUCCUAGCUUCUGGGCCUGAGUAACAGGCAGUUUACUUUGGGCACGCUUUUCAUCCGGACGUGAAAAUACUGCCCCCUACCCAAGAGAGGUUAAACAACAACUGACAGAUUGACACACCUCAUCUCACUGUCCAAUCAGAAAAGAUCUGUUUAACAACGACCAGAUUGAACAGUGAGUUGUUUCAAUCAGAAAAGAUGAUUAGUCAUGUCACUGUCCAGCGUCCAAUGAGAUAUUCUGUCUGGUCUCCAUAGUGACGAGGAGCGGUACCGCGGUUACCGGGAGUACCAGGCGGAGCGUGGCUACAGCGGCGGUGACCGUGGAGGAGGUGACCGUGGAGGGGGGGAGCGUGGAGGCGUAGACCGCGGAGGUGACCGUGGAGGUGGGGAGCGUGGCGGUGACCGUGGCAGUGGUGGUGAGCGUGGUGGUGGAGGCGGGGAGCGUCACAGAGAGAGGUCGAGCCGUGAGAAGGAGGAGAGACACAGAGAGAGAAGACACAGAGAGAAGGAGGAGGGGAGACACAAGUCAUCACGCAGUAGCAGCAGGAGGAGACAUGAUAGUGAAGAAGGAGACGGUCACAGGAGACACAAACACAAGAAGAGCAAGAGAAGCAAGGAGGGCAAGGAACCUAGUGAUGACAUGGGAGGAGACCAGGAGAACCAGGACACCAUGGAGUGAUGAAGACAACAUCCUCCUCUCCCUCUCCUCAUCUCUCUCUCUCUCCCUCUCUACGUCCCUCCAUCUGUCUCUCUCUCUCUCUGUUUCCCUCUCUACGUCCCUCCAUCUGUCUCUCUCUCUCUCUGUUUCCCUCUCUACGUCCCUCCAUCUGUCUCUCUCUCCCUCUGUUUCCCUCUAUACGUCCCUCCAUCUUUCUCUCUCUCCCUCUGUUUCCCUCUAUACGUCCCUCCAUCUGUCUCUCUCGCCCUCUGUUUCCCUCUAUACGCCCCUCCAUCUUUCUCUCUCUCCUCUCCCUCUCCUCAUCUCUCUCUCUCUCUGUUUCCCUCUAUACGUCCCUCCAUCUGUCUCUCUCCCUCUGUUUCCCUCUAUACACCCCUCCAUCUGUCUCUCUCUCCCUCUGUUUCCCUCUAUACGCCCCUCCAUCUGUCUCUCUCUCCCUCUGUUUCCCUCUCUACGCCCCUCCAUCUGUCUCUCUCUCCCUCUGUUUCCCUCUCUACGUCCCUCCCUCUGUCUCUCUCUCCUCUCCCUCUCCUCAUCUGUCUCUCCUGUUUCCCUCUACGUCCCUCCAUCUGUCUCUCUCUCCCUCUGUUUCCCUCUGUCCCUCCAUCUUUCUCUCUCUCCUCUCCCUCUCCUCAUCUGUCUCUCCUGUUUCCCUCUCUACGUCCCUCCAUCUUUCUCUCUCUCCUCUCCCUCAGAGCACUGUUGUAGUUGAUCAUGCUCAGAGAUCGUUGUUUACCCGUUCCCUUCGUAGUCAUGACGAUCAUAAACAACCCUCAUCUUCUGUCAUUUAUUUUCUUAACCAAACACCUCGCUGAAAGAUGUCAAUUUGUUGAAUUAAAAAACAAGCUUUUGAUAA